GCGAUUGGGCCGACAGAGUUUGAUCAUGGCUCAGGAUGAACGCUGGCGGCGUGCUUAACACAUGCAAGUCGAACGGUGAACCCCUUCGGGGGGGAUCAGUGGCGAACGGGUGAGUAACACGUGAGCAACCUGCCCCUGACUCUGGGAUAACCCCGGGAAACCGGAGCUAAUACCGGAUACGACCUGCUCGGGCAUCCGAUGCGGGUGGAAAGAUUUAUCGGUUGGGGAUGGGCUCGCGGCCUAUCAGCUUGUUGGUGGGGUGAUGGCCUACCAAGGCGACGACGGGUAGCCGGCCUGAGAGGGCGACCGGCCACACUGGGACUGAGACACGGCCCAGACUCCUACGGGAGGCAGCAGUGGGGAAUCUUGCACAAUGGGCGAAAGCCUGAUGCAGCGACGCCGCGUGAGGGAAGAAGGCUUUCGGGUUGUAAACCUCUUUCAGGAGGGACGAAGCCACCCGGGUUAAUAGCCCAGAGGGUGACGGUACCUCCAGAAGAAGCCCCGGCUAACUACGUGCCAGCAGCCGCGGUAAUA
rnacentral:rRNA from 1 species